rnacentral:rRNA from 1 species
UAUUUCCCGAUUUUGAAUGAUUUAAUAAUUUAUUUUAGUUACUGUUUUAUAAGUAUUAAUAAUAUUUUAUUGGUAAUGAUAUGUUUUCGUUUUUGAUGGUUUCUGGUUUUCUAGGAAAUGAAUUUAAUUCAUACAUUUUAUUUAAUAUUUCUUUUUGUUUAGGGGGUUUUUAUUCAAUGUAAAUAUGUUGGGGGAUUAGCUCUGAUUUUUAUUUUUAAAAUUGCUUUGUGUUUUGAUUUUUGUGGGUUUUAUAUUAAUUAUCAGUUUAAGUAUGUUUAAAUUUUAUUUUUGUUUAUUUUUAUUUUUAUUGUUUGUUUAAGUUUUAUAUUAGAAUGUUGUUUUUAUUUUUUUAUUAUUUGUAAUUAUGAUGGAAUUAGUAUAUUUUUUUGUUUGUGUUGUUUGUCUGGUUGUUAAUUUUUCUUUAGGAAUUAGGCAAAUCUUUGUGUUCGCCUGUUUAUCAAAAACGACUCCUCUUGUUUUUUAUAUGAGGUAGGACCUGCCCGCUGAAUUGAUUUUUGAAGGGCCGCGGUAUUUUGACCGUGCAAAGGUAGCAUAAUCAUUAGUCUUUUAAUUGUAGGCUGGUAUGAAUGGUUUGACGAGAUGCAAUCUGUCUUGGGUUAAUGAUUUAUUGAAUUUAGGUUUUAAGUAAAAAUACUUAAAUAUUUUUGUGGGACGAGAAGACCCUAUAGAGUUUUAUAUUAAUUUCUUUUGUUUAUUUGUUUGUUUGUUUUUGGAGUUGGAAUUAUUAUUUUGUUGGGGUGACAUGGAGAUUUAUUUAACUCUUCAUUUUAUGUAAUAUAGAUUGAUAGUUUAUUGAU